GGGGAAGGGAGUGCUUGGGGGGCCCCCAGAGCACUGGGAAUGGGGCCCUGUCCAGUCCUGCUUUCUGUGUUUAUCUGCUGGUACCAGGUUGUAGUGCAGGACCAGGUCUCCUACCACACCAGCUCAGGUGGCUUUAUGGGGAAAGGUGGGCAGGAUAAAGACUUUUACAUCUUCCUCUUGUGAUUCUGUGCCACCGGUCUGUGAGGCGCGGGCUUUCAUGUCUCCUGAUGAUGCAGUUGCAGCUCGCUCUCUCUCCAUCUGUACAACCAUCACCAUCUGCUAAAUGGAACGCUACCUCCAGAGACAAAUCAUCUCCUUUUCCUGGGUGGUGGAAGGAUGUUUCGGUGCAGAGAAGUGUGCUGCUGACCAGACCUCCUCCAGAAUCUGACCUGCUUCCCAGAGGUUGGGGUGCUGCCAAGACCGGAGUCACAGCUAGUGUCCUCCCUCCAGUAGCCCUUCUGUUCCGACGACUGAGUUGCUGUUGAACAAUGUUUGUGACACUGUUUCCACUUGUGGUUACUAUUUGGUGAGCAAAGAUAAUUUCUAUUUCUUGCUACUUGAAGCUUAGGAUUGCCUCCUGGCCACCUUUCUACUCA
rnacentral:lncRNA from 1 species